rnacentral:rRNA from 1 species
GUCGAACGGAAGUACCUUCGGGUACUUUAGUGGCGAACGGGUGAGUAAUACAUAGGUAACCUACCCUUAAGACGAGGAUAGCCAUUGGAAACGAUGGAUAAAACUGGAUAGGAUAUAGAGGAAGAAUCUUUUAUAUUUAAAAGAGAGAUCUGCUUAAGGAGGGGCCUGUGGCGCAUUAGCUAGUUGGUGGGGUAAGGGCCUACCAAGGCGAUGAUGCGUAGCCGGACUGAGAGGUUGAACGGCCACAAUGGAACUGAGAACGGUCCAUACUCCUACGGGAGGCAGCAGUAGGGAAUUUUCGGCAAUGGGGGGAACCCUGACCGAGCAACGCCGCGUGAACGAAGAAGUUAUUCGUAAUGUAAAGUUCUUUUAUCAGGGAAGAAAGAGGAAUUUGACGGUACCUGAGGAAUAAGCUCCGGCUAACUACGUGCCAGCAGCCGCGGUAAUACGUAGGGAGCGAGCGUUAUCCGGAAUUAUUGGGCGUAAAGGGCGCGUAGAUGGCAUAGUAAGUCUUUUGUAAAAAUGCUGGGCUCAACCCAGUAGGGCAAAAGAUACUGCAAAGCUAGAGUAUGACAGAGGCAAGUGGAACUACAUGUGUAGCGGUAAAAUGCGUAAAUAUAUGUAAGAACACCAGUGGCGAAGGCGGCUUGCUGGGUCGAUACUGACAUUGAGGCACGAAAGCGUGGGGAGCAAACAGGAUUAGAUACCCUGGUAGUCCACGCCCUAAACGAUGAGUACUAAGUGUUGGUGAGAAUCAGUGCUGAAGUUAACGCAUUAAGUACUCCGCCUGAGUAGUACGUACGCAAGUAU